GUGAGGAAUAUUGGUCAAUGGUCGGAAGACUGAACCAGCCAUGCCGCGUGCAGGAAGAAGCAUCUAUGGUGUGUAAACUGCUUUUGUACGGGAAGAAACACUCCUACGUGUAGGAGCUUGACGGUACCGUAAGAAUAAGGAUCGGCUAACUCCGUGCCAGCAGCCGCGGUAAUACGGAGGAUCCAAGCGUUAUCCGGAAUCAUUGGGUUUAAAGGGUCCGUAGGCGGUUGAAUAAGUCAGUGGUGAAAUCCGGCAGCUUAACUGUCGAACUGCCAUUGAUACUGUUUAACUUGAAUUACUGUGAAGUAACUAGAAUAUGUAGUGUAGCGGUGAAAUGCUUAGAUAUUACAUGGAAUACCAAUUGCGAAGGCAGGUUACUAAUGGUUUAUUGACGCUGAUGGACGAAAGCGUGGGGAGCGAACAGGAUUAGAUACCCCGGUAGUCC
rnacentral:rRNA from 1 species